CAGAUGGUAAUAUAUACCCUUGGUUAGUUGGUUUCUCUCUCCACCUUCCCCCCUAAAAUUUUAAAUUUCAAAGCCAUUUCUCAAUUUACCAUCUUUAGUCGCGCGUUCCACACCGCACUCAAACAGUGAAACCCUAAGACACAUCACUGUACACUGGUGUCAUUCAGUCGCCGGCCACCGCAUUCCCCGUCGCUCCCUUAGCGCAGCCACCGUGUUCGCUUUUCUAUUUCCAUCAGAAGUUCAGAUCUGAAGAAGUACAAACCCUAAUCUACUAUGAAAGGACUCAAACAUGAAGAGGGUCCAUUAAUGGGGUUGUCAGAAGAUCUGAUCCUUGAAAUCCUAUUUCGAUCAACCAUAAGAUCAUUAGGAAGACUCUGUUGUGUCUCCAAAAAGUUGGAUACCCUUAUCUCAAACCCCGGUUUUGCCAUAUCUCGUCUCAAUUUUUCGAACGCUACCACUCCACCCUUAACCCUUGCUAUGCAGAAAUAUAAUACCAUUUCCUCUCUGAAGUUUAGAAGUUCCACCGAUAUUACUAAGGGCGUAAACUUAAUUGGAUUGGACAGACAAUUUGAUGAUGACAACUCUUUUGAUGGGUGUUACUUUUUUAUUGUUGGAUCAUGUCAUGGCCUUUUGUGUCUUUACAUUAAGGAGAAGAAGAAACGUGGCAAAGAUUUGAUGUAUCUUUGGAACCCUACCACCAACGAAUCCAGAAAAAUCUCAUUGCCUGUAGAACGGAGUUUAACUUAUGUUAAGGUAGACUCUUGCUGGUUUGGCUUUCUUCCCUCCUUAAAUGACUAUAAGAUCCUGUUAGUUUACACAGUGUAUAAGCCGGCGUAUGCAGAUCACAUGUAUUUAUACUCGUUAAGGAAUAAAAGAUGGGAAGAAGUUCGUGUAUGUGAUAAAGAUUUGUCUUCCAUUUCGCAAUCUGACUCAGUUUUCAUGGAUGAAGCACUGCAUUACCUCAUUCGUCGCCAAUGCAUAUUUAAAUUUGAUUUGGUUACUGAGACUUUGAAGAGGAUAUCCAUCUCAUUCGCGCCAGAAUUAUUUUCAAAUGCAUAUCAGACGUAUCUUAGUGUCAUUGGAGAAUAUGAUUGUCUAUGUGUUGGGUUUGUACAUCACUCCAAGAAAAACGUCCAGAGAGUAUCUGAUGACGACUCUGAGGGGGAUGAGGGUGAUAAAUGGAUGUUCGAGUUGUGGAUGUUAGAGGAAUAUAACAACUGGGGUUCGUGGAAAAAGUUGUACAACAUUGACUUGCAGGAAAAGAUUGCUAGACGUUGCACCCAAUUUUUAGGGAUCACAUAUAGUGGCCUUCUUUGUUUUCUAAAUGUGCAUGACAGACUUGUGCUUAUUGACCCAAGUUGGGAUCCACCUUCACAUGUCAUCGUUGGGAAUUGUGCAAAGGUUUACAAGUUGAUCAGUUAUGUGAGGAGUCUUGUUUCCCCUUCCUCUCCUUUUGUUGUUGAUGAUGAUGAGCAACCAGGUGGGAAUUCAUGCCUUCGAACGAGCUUUCGGCUUCCUCCUUGCCCAUGGAUUGCCGUAAGUGGUGGUGUAAAUGUUGAUGCUACAGAUGAUGAUGAUGAUGAAGAAGAAGAUGAUGAUGGGGCUGAUAGUGAUGACGAUGAUGGUGAUGACCAUAACAAUGAUGGGGGUGAUAGUGAUGACAGUGAUGAUGACGAUGAUGGUGAUGACCACGACGACGAUGAUGAUGGGGGUGGUGAUGAAGAUGAAGAAGAUGGUGGUGGCGGCAUUAAUUUGACUUUGAGUUUAUAGGAGAUUUCUUUGUAGCUUCUGCAAUCGAACUAUAUUUGUAGUUCUAUCUAUGAUUACUCAUCAGUGAGUUGUUAAAUGGAUCAAUUACUGCUUUUAGGAUCUUUUAAUUCUCUUUGGGACUACAUGGAGUAAACAGAGUGGGUCUUUUGGAAGUGGUAGACAGUUGAUGCGUAACAAUAGACAGCAAAAACAGGAUUGGAGUUGUCAAGGAGAUCUUUUGGGGAUGUGCAGUCAGAGGUGUGAGGGUUGUUUUAACUCGGAUUUUGUCAUUCUGAUUCAGGAGUUGGAAUCUGGUAACUUGCAGCUGAACCUGGCGUUACACUGAUGAUGUAAAGGAAGAUCAUGUUUGUUCAUUGUCCAUGAUAUCCUCUCUUAUGCUUUAGUACUUCUGUUUGAUGCAGGUGUCGUUGGUAGCUGUGGUGGUGGUGCAGGUGGUGGACCAACAUCAUUAACAUUACCAUAAAAGGAGUAGAUUUCAUACCGAAGAUUGCAGCUAGGUGUAAUCACCCUUGCUCCUGCGGCAAUAAAUGUAGGCGUAACAAAAUAUUUGGACACAUAUCACACAGUCAACCCUUGACAAAUCUGGAUUACACUGAACAAGUCCAUACAUGGUUUGAUUUGUACUAGUAAUAUUUAUCUGUGCAGCAGCAGAUUUCAGCUCAGAAUUCCCCAAUGAAGCCUUAUUUUGCAAGGUACUCAUCAAAAAAUUGUCAGUGUACCCGAAAGCCUCUGUUUGGUUAGGACAUAACAUCGGAAGAGUGGCAGCCGAGUCACGGAUACAUAGCCGGCAAGUGUUGUAAGGUACGUCACCUCUGCAUAGGACCAUGGCUUUGACUUUGUUAGGAGUUUGACCCGCGGUGAAGUUGUAGUAGCCAUUGGUGAGUCGAAGGGUUGAGGAUAGAGAGUUGAGGGCUGUUUUGA